rnacentral:lncRNA from 1 species
GCCCUUUCCUCCUCCCACCGCGCACCAAAACAUGGGGUCCAAGAUCUUCUGUUGUUGCCGCAAGACCAGCGAGGGGUCUUCCACCACUGUUGGCUUCCACAAUCCAAGAAUGUUCGAACAGCAUCAUCCACGGUCCUUCAGUAGGUUCCAGACGUGGGUGUGUGAUAGUGUCAGGAACACCUGAAUGAUUCUCUGCGCCUCGGCCUCCCCGGCCACCUCCUGCUGGGACAUAGUCAGACUUCUUUCAGCCUUCUGGGAGUGUGGAAAGGGCGUAGUUACUCAAGCCUGGAACAACACAGUCUAAAGACUCUAUCAGUUAUUAGAGAUUAGUUAUUAGGUGGUAGAUAUUCGUUGAAAUCACUGGCUUUAGUCCUCCAUGGCCAUUUGUUGAUUUAUUUAAUUUCUCACUGAGUUUGUGGUACUUUAUUAGAUGGUAGUUUAAACUCUGCCUCUGCUGCUUACUGAGUUUGGGCAUGUCGCCGACCCUCCCUCUCUAAGCCUCAGCAUCCUUCUCUCCAAAAUGAGGAUAACGAUAAUAUAUUGCCCACUGUGCAGGCUGUUAGGAGGAUGAAGGCAGGCACCGUGUGUAAGUGAAUGCAUAUGGCCCCACACAAAGAAGACAUUCAACAAGGCCGGGCACGGUGGCUCACGCCUGUAAUCCCAGCACUUUGGGAGACUGAGGCGGGCAGAUCACGAGGUCAGGAGAUCGAGACCAUCCUGGCUAACACGGUGAAACCCCGUCUCUACUAAAAAUACAAAAAAUUAGCGGGGCAUGGUGGUGGGCGCCUGUAGUCCCAGCUACUCAGGAGGCUGAGGCAGGAGAAUGGAGUGAACCGAGGAGGCGGAGCUUGCAGUGAGCCGAGAUCGCGCCACUGCACUCCAGCCUGAGCGACAGAGCGAGACUCCACCUCAAAACAAAAAAAAAGACAUUCAACAAAUGAUAUCUGUGGAUGUGUAUAAGGAUCAGCUGGGCCACGCUGAGAUCUGAACACAAAUUCUCUCCACAGUGCUGUACCAAAAAGACAUCCACGCCUCCCCUAUGACAACCGCAUGAUGCUCAAGGCGUGCAUCCUUAGGAGGCCAUGAGCAUUCUAGCCGGCGGCACCCACGUGGUCCCUGCGGCUGCACAGCUGCUGGGCUUCCAUGAGGAAGAGGGCAGUGGACAAGAGUCAUGAAGACUGAUUCAGAAACUCCCCUGCAGGAGGAGAAGACGUCUGAGCCAUCCCUGUGCCACCACCAAGAGUCACUCCAGCUUCUGAAAAAGCCACCGUGGGGGGGAGCCGCCUCCAAUUAAAGUCCUUGGUCACAUCAGAGGAAGUGUCUCUCCUCCUUCCCCCUUUGCCAGCCCUACCUCUGAGAUUCCCAAAAACAUGGAGCAAUUAGACCCUGGCACCUCUUGGAAAGAAAUGUGGUUUUGUCAUUUUAACGCAUUAACACAUUUGUUUCAGUCACUCCUAACCAACCUAACAGGGAAGUGCUAUAUUAGGAGAGGCCAGUUUGUAUAACAGGCCACUGUCAUAAACGUCCAGAGCUUCAGGGCACAAUUCUGCUUGCCUACUGUGCGACUCCAUUUGACGCUCAGGGCCAUAGGGAACAGCAGGGCAUGUUGUGAAAAACUCUACAAACAGCAGCCCUAGAGUUAUGCAAUGCGUAGCCAGUGCUGAUACGCAGCACCGCUUGUGCUGAAACACGGAGUAUGCAACUGUGAGUAAUAUGCAGAAGACCCCACAUGGUUUCCACAUUAGCCAGGGAGCCAGGCAUGGAAGUGUAUCACUCUGACAUAAUAGGGCAAAAACUUGGAAAGCAAAAUGACAAAGGAGCAUUUUGCAACUGACUCGGGGAUUAAUGGAAGGCUUCCUGGAGGCGAUGGUGCUUGAAGGGAAGUUAGCUAAAAGGAGAAGGGAUGAUAUUCCAGAAGGAGGGAAUACAAUCAGCAAAGUUGGAAAAUAGGGGCACGACCUGGGAGGGCAUGAGGGUAGCAAAGUACCAAGUCUAGAAUGACUCAAGUGAAAACCUGAGCCAGGGUUUGGUGGGAGGUGAAGUGGGCAGAGCAUCAAGAGCUUUGUAUCCAGGGAAAAGGAGCUGAACUCUAUCUUGAAAAUAAUGGGAAGCCACAGGUGAGUUUUAAGCAACAAAGUGACACAGCCUGAUUUCCAACUUUUGUACUAUGAACAGUGCCUUAGUCUGUUCAGACUACUAAAAUAAGAUACCAUAACCGGGUGACUUACAAACAACAGAAGUUUAUUUCUCACAGUUUUGGAGGCUGGGAAGUCCAAGAUCAAAACUCCAGCAGCAUCAGUGUCUGGUGAGGGCCUGUUCCUCAUAGAGGGCGCUUCUUGCUGUGUUCUCACAUAGCAGAAGGGGCAAGGGGUCUCUCUCAGGCUCUUUCAUAAGGGCACUAAUCUCAAUCGUGAGGGCUCUGCUCUCAUGACCUAAUCCUCCUAAACCUCCCAAAGACCACAAUUCUUAUACCAUCACCUUGGGAGUUAAGAUUUCAACACAUGAAUUUGGGGGAACAUUAACAUUCAGACCAUAACAAACAAGGCGAGUUGGAAGACAACACUUUUUUUGUUUGUUUGUCUGUUUGUCUGAGACGGAGUCUUGCUCUGUCACCCAGCCUGGAGGGCAGUGGCAUGAUCUUGGCUGGCUGCAACCUCCACCUCCCAGGUUCAAGGAUUCUCCUGCCUCAGCCUCCCAAGUAGCUACAGGAAAGUGCCACCACACCCAGCUAAUUUUUUUUUUUAAUUUUUUUUUUGAGACGGAGUUUCUCUUUCGUUGCCCAGGCUGGAGUGCAAUGGCACACUUUCGGCUCACAGCAACCUCUGCCUCCCGGGUUCAAGCGAUUCUCCUGCCUCAGCCUCCUGAGUAGCUGGGAUUACAGGCACCCUCCACCAUGCCUGGCUAAUUUUGUAUUUUUAGUAGAGACAGGGUUUCUCCAUGUUGAUCAGGCUGGUCUCCAACUCCUGACCUCAGGUGAUCCGCCCGCCUCAGCCUCCCAAAACGCUGGGAUUACAGGCGUGAGCUACCGCGCCCGGCCUAAUUUUUGUAUUUUUAGUAGAGACGGGGUUUUGCCAUUUUGUUCAGGCUGGUCUUAAACUCCUGACCUCAGGUGAUCCGCCCAUCUCAACCUCCCAAAGUCCUGGGAUUACAGGCGUGAGCCACUACACCCGGCCAGAAGACAAUUUAUUAAUUAGCACUCCUUAUGCCUUCCCCACCUCAGAAAAGAGAAGAAUAAAGGAAUAUGAUGUCUAUGCCAUGGCAAUGUGGAGUAAAAUUCAUACCUUCAAUGAAAAGCCCAUCCUGGCUAUAAUGUGAAGGAUGGAUUUUGUUUUGUUUUGUUUUGUUUUUUGAGACGGAGUCUCGCUCUGUCAUCCAGGCUGGAGUGCAGUGGUGCGAUCUCAGCUCACUGCAACCUCCACCUCUCGGGUUCAAGCGAUUCUCCUGCCUCAGCCUCCCAAGUAGCUAGGACUACAGGCGCAUGCCACCACGAUUUGAGUGUAAUAGUAAUCACAAUAGACAGCCUGGUUCCUUGCUUACUCUGUGCCAGAUCCUCUUCCAAGUGCUUCAUAAAUAUCAACCCAAUCAGCACAAUAACCCAACAAGGUUAGAACUGUUACUACCUGAUUUUACAGAUUAGGGAAGUGAGACACAGGUUAAAUAAAUCUUUUAAGGUUUACACUAACUCACAUUAAGUGCCAGAGCUAAGACUUUAACUCAAGAAACCCAACUGCAGAGUCCACACUCUUAACAACUUGGUUAUGCGGCCCCUCGAUAAUGGUAGAAUGACAUUCAGUUAUUACUCUGGACCCCAAAUUUACUGUUCAUCGCCUGCUCUUCAAAAAUGGAGCUGGCCCUUUAAAUAUUUUUCUUUUGGUAGUUGGUGCAAUGCUAGGCUCUGUCAGGAGGGGGAGCUAGAGACAUUGGAGGAGGAAGAGGCCUUCCUUUCUGGUUGUGCUGGGCUCAUCUUAACAGCACAGAGCUCACAGCUUCUCCAACAUCACCCUCCCGCAGUGCAGGCAACUUUUCCAGAACAGGAAUCCUGCAGAGGAUGGUGGUCAGUAGCACUUGGCAACUAGCAGCUUCUCCUAGUGCCCCCACAAAUAGGUGUGCCUCUAAUCAGACACUGUUCCAUGACAGCUUUCCCUGGCACCCAAGGGCAGACUUCUAGAACAUUCUCCCAGACUUCUCUGCCAUUGUGAGGCACAGCCAUGCCCUUCCCAGCAACAUCUGGAUCUCAGCUGGGGAUAGAGCCUGGGGGUGUUCUUUCUUAGUUCUAGGGGUGCUGGCUGCUCCUUAUGUCCAUUAUUCCUAUAUUCUUUAAAGCUCUCCUGACUUCUUACCACUCCUUCAUUACUCCAAUCCCCUGUUCUAGUUAGUACUUAUAUUAAUCUUCUCAUAUUCAAAUUGUUAUGUGGUUUCUGUCUCCCAAGUGGAUCAUGACUAAUGCAGAAAUCAAAUUAAGAGGCUGGGCUUAUGUCUGUGGCCCCAGAAAUACAGGAGGCAGAGGCAGGAGUAUCACUUGAGGCCAGGAGUUUGAGAUCAGCCUGGGCAACACAGCAAGACCCGAUCUCUACCAAAACAAAACAAAACAAAUUAAGCGACUGCCUAGGCAAUCAGGACAGACAGUGAUACAGGCCUAAAGUAGGGCAGCAGCAGUCAGGAUGAAUAAGAGGACCUUGAGUCAUAUUUCUCAGGCAAAGCUGGCCAAUUCUAACUCAGAACCAUACAGGAAAGAAGAUUCUAGGGAAUGAGGUCCUUGUGGUAUUGAGGCCAAGUUGACAACAACAGCAGAUCACUUAAUUUUGGGCUAUUCCAAGCUGGAGGGGCCUAUGGGACAUCCAGAUGACCAUAUUAAGAAGGUUGGCAAUAUUUAGCAGGAAAAGGUAAAAGAACUAUAGCUGGAAGGAAGCAGAGAGGCCUACAACAUGUGUGUGGAGUUGUCAGCUCACUGCAUCGUGGCACCUCUUCCCCAUGGGAUGAGACCCCACUGGCAUCUGUUGGGUGAAGAUACAGUUCACUUUCCCGGACCUCAUGUCCAGAGUCCUCUUCCACUGCCCAUUCUCAUACUGUAUCCCCUGGACCCACCCUCUUACCCAGAUUCCCCUUGUCCUAUGCAUUCCUCACCUCCUCUCAUGCGAAGGUCCCACUUUCCUUCCCCAGCAAACCCCAUAUUCCUUAUUUCUUGGACUGCUUUCUGCAACAACUGUAGCAGGUGCUUUACACAAAAAAGAUGCUCCUUAAAUGUCACUUCCUGCUUUGAUAAUUUAGAAACUCCUUCACAGAAGGGAUGCAAAGAAGCCUCCAUCCUGUGACUUUUUUAAAGGGCUCUCAGCCACAGGGUGACAUCUUUCUUUGAAGGAUUUUCAAAUAGUAACAAUAAAAAUAAUCAUGGAAACCACAGCUGGAUUUACUUCUGAUCAUGGUAAACUAGCUUGUAUCAGACCAACCCUCCUGCUGACAGCAGUUUAAAAGCAAUUGUUCUUUUUUCUUAAAUGUGUUUGAAUGCAUCAGAGAGAUAUCAACAUAGUCAGGACACGAGGGGCCAAGAUGCUGAAGAGAAAAGUAGAGAGAGGAGAUGAGCACCGAAGCCUUCUUAUCCCCUUGAGGCACCUGCCGAGUCCUAAGCAGAGUCCAAGUAGCUGAAAAGUUGAGUAGAGCUUUCAGAAGUCUCACAGCGGCCAGGCGUGGGGGCUCACGCCUGUAAUCCCAGCACUUUGGGAGGCCGAGACAGGUGGAUCACAAGGUCAGGAGAUCAAGACCAUCCUGGCUAACACAGUGAAACCCCGUCUCUACUAAAAAUACAAAAAAUUAGCCGCGUGUGGUGGUGGGCGCCUGUAGUCCCAGCUACUGGGGAGGCUGAGGCAGGAGAAUGGCGUGGACCUGGGAGGCGGAGCUUGCAGUGAGCCAAGAUCAUGCCACUGCACUCCAGCCUGGGAGACAGAGCGAGUCUCUGUCUCAAAAAAAAAAAAAAAAAAAAAAAAUGUCUCACAGCUUGGGGUAACAAAAAUUGGAGGUUUAGGACUCACCAUGAAAGAGGAGUCCUGGUUUUAUAAACACACACACACACGUUUUCAGCUAAAACCCCUGUAGGGCUACAACCUGAGAGUAAGGUUUAAUCACACCUAGACUAGCUCUCACAAAGCCCAGGGUCAAGUUUAUCUCAAGCCUACUUUUCCCAGAAGCAAAAGUAAAUCCUGCCUGAGGGAAGAUCCAGAGCCUUGUAUAUCUCUUCAAUUUUUCAAAAUUUUCAUUUUUCAAAAUGUCUAGCAUUUAAUGAAAAAUUACCAUGAAUAUCAAAAAAUAAGACCAACUGACUGAAAAGCAAAAGGAAAAAAAAAAGAACCAGAUAUUAGAGUUUGCAGACAUAAACUUUAAAAGCAGUACAAUUAAAUAUUGAGGAGAAUAGAUGACAAGAUUGGUAAUUUCAUUUGAGAACUGGAAACUAUUUCUAAAAAAACAAAAUUAUAGAACUGAACAUUAUGAUGGAUGAAAUUAAAAACUCAGGCUGGGCAUGGUGGCUCACAGCUGUAAUCCCAGUGCUUCAGGAGGCAGAGGCAGGAGGAUUACUUGAGGCCAGAAGUUCAAGACCAGCCUGGGCAACACAGCAAAACCCCGUCUCUACAAAACAUUUAAAAAUUGGCCAGGCAUGGUGGCACCUGCCUAUAGUCCUAGCUACUUGGGAGUCUUAGGUCCCAGGAGUUUAAGGUUGCAGUGAGCUGUGAUUGUGCUACUGCACUCCAGCCUGGGCAACAGAGCAAGACCCUGCCUCUUAAAAAAAAAAAAAAAGAUAAAAAAAUUAGAAACUGGAUUGAUUUUUAAAUGAAACAUAGGGUUAACAAAAAAACUCCAUUGAUAGAAUUAAACACAAAUGAGGGCAAGAUUAAUGGAGAAGACGAGUCAGUAGAAAAUAUCCAGGCUGAAUCACAAAGAACCAAAAGAAUGGAAAAAUACCAAGAAGGGUCUUAGAGAUAUAGUGAAAAGGUCUAACACUUAUCAUUAGAGUCCUGAACAAGAUGAGAGAGAAGAGGGUGAAUGCUGUGAUGAAAGAUAUCAUGUCACAGUUUCAAGAUGUGCUAUGAACAAGCACAAGCAGGAAAAAUACUUUAAAAGCUACAGCUAGGCACAUCAGAAUAUAACUGCUAAAACUCAAUGCAAAGAGAAAAUGUUGAGAGCAGCAAUGGGGCUGACAGAUGACUUCUCAACAGAAGCAACAGAAACCAAUGACAUCUUCAAAAGGUUGAAAGAAAAUAACUGCACUAACCUAGAAUUCCUUACUUACCAAAAAUAUCUUUCAAAAAUAAAAACAAAAUACAGACUUCUCAGCAAACAAAAAUUGAAUUUGUCACCAUAAGAUCUGUACUGAAAGGAAAAUACUAAAGGUAUUUCUAAAUAUACUAUACUAAAUAUGAUACUAUAUUGAAGAAAAAUUCUAAAGUUAGUUCCAGAAGCAGGAUCCAAAAUAGAUGUAUGGAAAUACAGAAAGGAACAAAGGGCAAUAAAAUUGAAGUAACAAAGAGCAAUAAAAAGUAACAUGUGAAUAAAUCUAAAUGAAUAUUGACUAUAGAAAGCAUUAAUAAGAAUGUCUGUUGUGGCUUAAAAUACAUAGAAAAUUGAAAUCCAUGACAAGACUACCGUAACAGGUAGAAAGGUGAAAGAAUUGUAUAGUUGUUGGAGCCAGGCACGGUGGCUCUCACCUGUAAUCCCAGCACUUUGGGAGGCUGAGGCAGGUGGAUCACUUAAGGUCAGGAGAUCGAGACGAGCCUGGACAACAUAGUGAAACUCUGUCUCUACUAAAAAUACAAAAAUCAUCAGGGUGUGGUGGUGCACACUUGCAAUUCCAGCUACUCGGGAGGCUGAGGCGGGAGAAUCACUUGAACCUGGGAGGCGGAGGUUGCAGUGAGCCAAGAUCGUACCACUGCACUCUAGCCCAGGCCACAGAGGGAGACUCCGUCUCCAAAAAAAAAAAAAAAAAAAAUUGUGUAGUCGCUGGGUUAUCCAGGAAAUGAUAGAAGUGAUCAUGUAUAAUACACUUCAGUAAGUCAAGGAUGCUUGUUAAAUCUAGGGUAAGAACUGAAAGAAAAGUAUACUUCAUAUGCUAAUAAAGGAGAAAUUACCCAAAACAAACAACCUUAAUCCAAAACAAGGAAAAAAGACAGAAAAAAGAAAAGAACACAGUAACAGAAAAACCGAUAGAAAGAAUUAUUAGUAAGAUGGUACAUUCAAACCUAAGUCUAUCAGUAAACACAUUAGAUAUAGUGUAGUAAAUACUUUGAAUUAGAAAAAAACUUAAUUUCAAAAAAGCAAAUCUUACAUGCCUACAAGGGUGAAACCUUAAAUAUAAGAAUGUGAAAAGGUCAAAAGUAAAAGGAUGAACAAAGAUAUACUACGCAAUGACUAAUCAAAAGAAAGCUAAUUUCCUCUCAGUAAGCAAGGAAUAGAGAAGAAACUUUCUCAACUUGUUAAAGAAUAUCUCAUCUAGGCAUGGUGGCUCAGGCCUGAAAUCUCAACACUCUGGAAGGCUGAGGUGGGAGGAUCAACUCCAGGAGUUCAAGAUCAGCCUGGGCAACAUAGUGAGACCCCAUCUCUACAAAAAACUAAAAAAUUAUGGCUGGAUGUGGUGGCCCAGGCCAGGCACAGUGGCUCACGCCUGUAAUCUCAGCACUUUGGGAAGCCAAGGUGGGUGGAUCACCUGAACUCAGGAGUUCAAGACCAAACUGAGCAACAUCAACAUGACAGAACCCUGUCUCUACCUUUUGGUAGCCAAGCAUGGUGGUGCAUGCCUGUGGUCCCAGCUACUCAGGAGGCUGAGGUGAGAGGAUCACUUGAGCCUGGGAGGCAGAGGUUGCAGUGAGCCAAGAUCCCACUACUCCACUCCAACCUGGGUGACAGAGUGAGAUCCCAUUUCAAAAAAAAAAAUAAAUGGCAUAUAGACCCAGCUACUCAGAAGGAUUGCUUGAGCUCGGGAGAUCAAGGCUGCAGUAAGCUAUGAUUGUGCCACUGCACUCCAGCCUCCAGCCUGGAUAACAGAGUGAGACCCUGUCUCAAAACAAAACAAAAAACCUACUAGGGCCGGGAAUGGUGGCUCACACCUGUAAUCCCUAGCACUUUGGGAGGCUGAGGCGGGCGGAUCACAAGGUCAAGUGAUCAAGACCAUCCUGGCCAACAUGGUGAAACCCGAUCUCUACUAAAAACACAAAAAAAUUAGCUGGGCGUGGUGGCACACGCCUAUAGUCCUAGCUACUCCAGAGGCUGAGGCAGGAGAAUUGCUUGAACUCAGGAAGUAGAGGUUGCAGUGAGGUGAGAUCGGGCCACUGCACUCCAGCCUGGUGAUGGAGCAAGACACUGUCUCAAAAUAAAACAAAAUAAAACAAAAAAAACCUACCAGAAAGUCCGGAGCUAACAUUAUAUUUAAUAGUGAAUGCCAGGCAUGGUGGCUCACGCCUGUAAUCCCAGCACUUUGGGAGGCCAAGGAGGGCAGAUCACCUAAGGUCAGGAGUUUGAGACCAGGCUGGCCAACAUGGAGAAACCCCAUCUCUACUAAAGAAAAAUAAAAAUAAAAAAAUAAAAAAAUAAAACAUAUAAAAAUUAGUCAGGUAUGGUUGUGCAGGCCUGUAAUCCCAGCUAUUCGGGAGGCUGAGGUAGGAAAAUUGCUUGAACCCAGGAGGUGGAGGUUCCAGUGAGCUGAGAUUGUACCACUAUACUCCAGCCUGGGCAACAGAGCAAGACUCUGUCUCAAACAAACAAACAAAAAAUAGUGAGACACUAGAAACUCCCACUACAAUCAUAAACAAGGCAAGAAUGUUCCCUCUUACCACUACUCUUCAACAUCAUACUGGAAGUCCAAGCCAAUGAAAUAGGACAAGAAAAGGAAAUAAAAAGUAUACAGAUAUACAGAUGAGGAAGGAAGAAAUAAAACUGUCUUUGUUUACAGGUGAGAUGAUUAUCUCAUCAACAAAAGAAUCAACAAAGAAACUCCUAAAACUAAUAAGAGAUUAUAGCAAGGUUGCAGGAUACAAUGUGAGUAGAUAAAAUUCAAUCACUUUCCCAUAACUAGCAAUGAACAAAUGAAAUUUGAAACUAAAUACACAAUACUAUUUUUAUUAGCACCCCCAAAAAUAAGAUAUUUAGGUAUAAAUCUUAUAAAUCUAACAAAAUAUGUACAAGAUCUAUAAGAAAAAUUACCAAAAAAAAAAAAACUGUAGGAAAAGGGAAAAACCCCUACAAAACUGAUAAAAGAAAUCAAAGAACAACUAAAUAAAUGAAGACAGAUUCUAUGUUUGUGGAUAGAAAUCAAUAUUGUGAAAAUGUCAGUUCUUGCAACUUGAUCUAUGGAUUUGAUGCAAUCCCAAUCAAAAUAAACAGUGAGUUAGUUUGUGGAUAUUGACAAACUGAUUCUAAAGUUUACAUGGAAAGGCAUAAGACACACAAUAGCCAAAUCAACAUUGGGAGAGAAGAACUAAGUUGGAGGACUCACACUACCCAAUUUCAAGACUUACUAUAAAGCUACAGUAAUCAAGACAGUGUGUUAUUGGGAAAGAACAGACACAUAGAUCAAUGGAACAAAUAGAGAGCCCAGAAAUAGACCCACAUAAGUAUAGUCAACUGAUCCUUGAAAAAAAAAAAAAAAAAGCAAAGGCAAUACAAUGGAGCAAAGAGAGUCUUUUCAACAGAUGGUGCUGGAACAAUAUGCAAAAAAUUAAUCCAGAUGGAGACCUUACAACCUUCAGAAAAACUAACUCAAAAUGAAUCACAGACCUAAGUGUAAAAACACUCAACUAUAAGAUAACAUAGGAUAACAUAAACUAGGAGCCAACAGCAGCCAGCAGCUGCAGAAGAAACGCCCCCACUGACUGAGCCCUUACUGUGGACCAGGCUUUGUGCUUCACAUCAAUCACUCCCGUUAAUCCCCCUUAUUAUCACACUCCCCCCUUAAUACAUGAGGAAAUUAGGUACAGAAAGUACAGUAAGAGUGA